UAAUAUUUUGACUAGUGACAUCACAGUUGCUUGUUGUAUAGUUGAAUUGAUGGCCAUUACAUUUGAAAUCAAUCUCAAAUUAAACGAAUUCAAUUCGAAAGGAAUUUUGUAUUCGCACAACACGAUACUUAUUGCGUGACCUCGUGAUAAAUCUCGUCAAUAGCUCCGCCCCAAAUAGGAAGUCGUGCACAACCAUUGUUCAACCAUUUGUUUUGCCAGGGAACAGGUAAACGUGGAUACGAGUCUAUUUAGAUCAAGUCUAAACAUUCUCGUUUUCUCAACAAAGUUAAAGAUUUACUAGCAAUGACAAUGGAGAAUGCUGCCCACCUCCAAAGUCAGCUAACCUCUCUCAUGAACGCGGUAAUGAGGGCAGCGGUCGUGGAAAUAGUCAGACUUGUAGAGGGCAGCGCCGUGGCCCUUCGCGACGAGUUGUCCAAGAGUAAACGGGAGAACGAAGCACUGAAAGCCGAGAACGAGUCGAAUAAAAAUAAGAUGCAACAUUUGGAAGCAAAACUAGCUGCGGAGCAGCGUUCUCUUGGUUGUCAUGUAGCCGAAGCUGGUGGCGGUAAGAUCAAUUUGUCCAAACAAAGGAAGAUGUUAAGGCUUGUGCAGAGAAGACCCGUGCAAGGCUGCAAUCUUUGGAGCCAGCAGGCCAAUCCCAGGCUACAGCUUUCAAUAAAGGGGAAGGCCUAAAAGUUGUUGCCAUGGAGAAGGAUGGAAUACAAGUACUUCGCAUCAAGAAGGAAAUAAAUGAAGGCACAGAACAUGACACACCAUGUCCAAUGACCGGUGAGCAGCCGUGUCCCAAAGUGGACAUGGUGUAUGGCAAGGAGUGGAGCCAAAGCCUGUGGCGAGACGGAAAAGAAAUAGGAGACCGCAGCGACGGAACAGAGGAGAAAGAAACUCCAGGACCAUCAAUGACCCAGCAUCAGAACGGAGGUUCCACUUCAGUGCAGUAAGCUGAGUCCAUCCACUCCUAUCUUCAAAGUCUUCUGUGAUCCUGAACGAGACGCGUAUCCCGACUAAUGACUUAAGAGGGAAUUUCUGAAUUCUGUUCUCCUUGUCACUGACUGGUCAUGACAGAUAGACGGCAACGUUAAAGAUCCUUGUCUUUAUUUACUGGUUGGCCCACGGGACCUCCUAUAAAACUGUCUCAAGGGGGGUGGACAGUAGUCGUGUGCCACGUCAGGGUCAAGAUCCCCAGUGCACCGCACCCACAACAAUGUCCAGGUGAACAUCCCCCUCCCCACCAUCAACUUCCAAGGGGUCUGCGACCACAUGCCGCUUCAUCAAUAUCUUCGCGGGGCUGCCUAGGUCUAUGAGCGACUUGAAGGUGCUCAGGCAUAGUCCCCUGUAGAAAAGUGCCCUGUACCCUCCCCCCAGAUGCUUCCUCCUGGGCAACGGCGGGUACCCCUGUCUACAGAUGCCUGUGUGCCUCAUCACACCAUAUCCAAAAUCUGAUCAGAACCCAGAGCACGACCAGUUUAACCAGAACCACGCCAAGGCUCUCUUCCCCCAUCGAGAGGACCUUCAACAUCAUGAGAAAGCGCUGGCACAUCUUCCUCCAGCCCAUCAAGCUCCACCCAUUCUUCAUCCCGAAAGUGCUUGCAAUGUGCACUGUGCCGCAUAACAUCUGCCUCCGGUCCGGGGAUGUGCUGGAGCCAGUAAAGAUUGAGGACAGAAACGAGGUGACUGAGGCUCUGAAGGAGUGGCUAGUGUCGAAUGAGACCAGCAGAAAGGCGUUGAGGGACAGUUUGGCUUAACAGAUCUCUACAAUGAAAUGAAUGGCCUCAGUGAAUGAUGGGCAAGGGACAUCUGCACCGGCAAACAUGGUGGAAAUUGAUUACCUCAGGAGCCAAUAAGCGGUGGUGGAACUGUCGCUGCCAACCUUUCAUGUUUUUCGUGAAACAAUUUAGCAAAGUCACCUCUCCUAUUCUAAUGCUUGUAUACAGUACCAUGUAUAAGAUCCUCCACUUUAUUUCAAAUUAUAUAUAUAUAUAUUUUUUUAUACUGUACAUGGUGAAGUGAAACACGAUUGUUUGUUUUUUUGGUAUGGUGUGAUUGUGGGACUGGUAUUCUAACUAGUUUUUUUAAAUUUAAAUUGUUAUUACUGUAUGGACAAUAAAAGCAUCCCCUGUGGUCUGCAGUGCAGCCCUGCAUGUGGUAUGCAUUCAAGUCUUUGAUUAUGCCCUUUUCAUUGUGUCACCUAAAGGGACAUUUUACCUUAGUGGAAAAUACAUGAAAAGUUCCUAAUGCCAGGCGUAUUUCAACCACUAAUGCAUUGUAUACCAGUGAUGAAACGGACCAAACCAUCCUUGUAUUCUUAUGUCGUUACUGAAUGCUUUAACCUUGUGUGGUGUUCGGGUCUGUGGGACCCAUUUUCAAUGUUUACUAAAAUGAAAAACCUGAGACUCAUUGGCCGUGGCUCAUUUUCUGUGAACAACUUGUAAAAUAACACAUUUUCAUUGAGUCAACACUGUGCACCCCCCUACAAAUCUAUAUUACCUAUGUGGUGUUCGGGUUCACUGGACCAGAGGGUAAUAAAAGUGUGUUUGUAGGUGAGGAAAAAAAAGUUUGCGAUGUGCCUUCACUCCGUCUUCCUCCUCUCUGCACGUGCUAUUUCAACAGCACCAAGAACCUGUUUGUCUUCCUUCCUGUCUCCUGCUUUUCUCACACUCUUUACCCUUUGUGGUGUGUGAAAGUACACAAUGUCUUGCCUGGAAUUUCGAUACGUUGUAAAAUUAAAUAGAAAAAAUCUGUAUUUUCCCACGCUCUUCCCCAGCCAGGUGCAAAUUGGGGGAGGGACAAAACAAAUAAAUAGCUUUGUGUGUGGCUUCUUACCACAAUAAUUCAGUAUGGCAAAAAUAAUCUCUGCUCAGAGGGCCUUUUAGAAAUACUUUUUUCAGAGAGAAGCUAGUCUUGAAGGAGUGUCUUCCACUGUGGAAGAUUAAGAAUUUUUCAAAUAUGAGGAUCAUGUCUCUGUCAAUUUGGAGUCUGGCAUUGAGUUGGAAGAGGAGGAUGAGAUUGACCCGCAGCCAGCCUUAGGACCAACCUGUCACCAACCAGCUCAUCAGCGGUCUGCAGGAGGAGAAGUAUUGAUGACAAAAUUCAAAUUGAAUGGUCUUCUUGACCAAGGAAUGAGCCACCCCGCAUGCCAAUGUGCAGGACAUAAAGUCUUCUAAUGAACUGUUCAUCUCAGACACCAUCCAGAUAAUCAUUCUGGACUGCUAAUUUGGAUGGAAUGUGUGUUUUUGAAGAGGGAUGGAAGGAGAUGGACCAAACUCAUUUACAUGCAUACUUUGGGGUUCUUAUCCUUACUGGUGUUUUCAGAUCCAAUGGGGAAUCCACAGAAUCCCUAUGGGAGGCAGAAACUGGCAGAUAACUUUUCUGUGCAACAAUGUUUCUGGAAAACUUCCACAUUAUUUCCAGGAUUAUCCGCUUCUAUAUCCGAGACACCAGACCAGCUCGGCGGCAGAGAGACAAGCUAGCUGCAAUCAGGUCAGUGUGGGACAAGUGGGUGGACAGCCUUCCACUGUUUUACAACCCUGUGCUCAACGUUACUGUUGAUGAGCAGGUUACGCCAUUUAGGGGCCGCUGCCCCUUCAGGCAGUACAUAUCGUCUAAACUCGCAAAAUAUGUCAUCAAGAUCUGGGCUGCCUGUGAUGCUGCUUCAUCAUAUGCAUGGAACUUCUAGUGUAUAUGGGGAAGCCCGAUGGAGCCUCUGAGAGGGACCAAGGGAUGCAGGUUGUCCUGCACAGGGACUCUGUGGCCACAUCACCUGCGAUAACUUUAUUUUUUAUUUUUUACUUCGCAAGCUGGGACAGGAGCUCCUCAAGAGGAAGCUGACAAUGGUAGGAGGGAUACGGAAAAACAAGCCAGAGCUCCCACCUCAGCUGUUGAAUACACAGAACUGGUCUAUCAAUUCUUGAGUACGCUGCAUAGGGAUGGGAGAAUUUGUGCCCAGGAAUAUCAAAUAGAAAUCAUAAUGGAUUACAAUGCCACAAAAGGAGGGGUGGACAAUUUAAACAAGCUGGUGACUGGCUACCGCUGCAAAAAGAAGCACCCUAUGCUGGCCACUUGUGAUAUUCUUGGACAUCUCAGCAUACAACACUUAUAUCAUGUGGAUGGCGUUGAACCCAGAUUGGAACAGAGGGAAGCGCCAGAGAAGACGGCUCUUUCUCGAGGAGCUGGGCAAGACAUUGGUAAGACCUCAGAUCCAGAGGAGGCAACAUCCCAAGGACCCCAGCUUCUGCAGCCAUCGUGAGGAUUCAGGAGGAUGAUGCUGGUGCCGCAUCCGCUUGACCCACGGAAUCAACUACUCCAAUACCGGAAAUUGCAACUGGUAGCAACAAGAAGAAGCGCUGCGACGUGUGUGGACCCAAGAAGGACAGGAAGACACAGUACACAUGCGUCAAGUGCAAGAAAUACAUUUGCAGCACACACACAGUAAAACUCUGUCCCUCAUGUGGUGUGUAGACCGGCCUUAAUUUGUGUACAAUGAGGCUCAUUUAUCAUUUCCAUAAGAUACUGUAAGUAAAAUUUGUCCUUCCAAUUUGUUCAGUUCAAAGCAUUAAACAUCGAUAGUGAUGAAAA